CCGAAACCCUUUUCUAUGGCUUGCGGAUGAUAGAUUACACUCCUUGUUUCUUUCUUCUUCUUCAUCUCCUAUUAUAUAGUAAGUACCUUACAAUACGUUCCCUAAUAAAUUUAUAUUUUCUACUCUUCCAGAGGAAUGUAAUAAUUAGAAAAUCUAUUCAAUGGCCCGAUCACAGGCGACAAACCAUUUUACUACCGUGCUUAAAGGUUUACAAACGGGCUAUUAUUCCUCUUUUCAGCAAGCUCUUCGUGUUCAUGCGCUUUCAUGUUAAAUGGAUCGGGGAUUUCGAUAUCUAUGUCAGGCAGAAGCCAGGAGAUUACUUUUUCUAAUGGGAGCAACCGCUGCUCUAGUUAUAGCAACUCAAUACUUUGAAUUUCCAUCAAGCAGAGUUUUAUCCCUCUUUUCUAUUGACAAUAAUAUCAGCUUUUUGCCAAGAGCAUCAUCUUCAUCAAAGUCUGAAAUCCUAGGUAACAUGACCCUUUCUAAUGGUUUAAAUUCAACUAUUGCUAGUGCACCUCAUGAGACAACAGACAGUAGUGAGGCCUCAUUUGCCAAGAAACAAACUGCUGAAGGGAAUAAAUCCAAGGAAAUGGAAGACAGCGCAAAGAGUAAUUAUGUAUUUGAAAGCAAUGGAGGUUCAGUUAACACUUUUGGAGUUGUUUCAAAUGCAACUACAUCAAAAGAUCAUGUAGAACAAAACAAAACUUCCAUAUUAGAGACGGGUGAAAAUUCAGUCAAUGGCUCUGACGUGAAGAAGGCCAUGGCACCUGAGAUUUCCUUCACAAAUGUCACUGAAGACAUUGCUCCAGCAUCUGAAAAAAACAGAAGCUCAGAUACAGCUGGCACAUUUAAUGAAGAAGAAAAUUCCGGACCAUUGCCAAGUAAUUAUUCUGUGUCUGGCAGUGGUUCUUCCGCAUCUAAAGCUUCCACCUUGAAACAGAAGUUCAAGAAAGCACCAUCUAGAGUAAUCUCAAUAUCUCAGAUGAAUGAAUUGUUGCGCCAGAAUCGUGCUUUAUCCAAUUCUGUGGUAUGUAAGGACUUCGAAUCGAAGUUUUGGUUCCUUGGCGUAAGCUCUGUACUAGAUUUUGAUUAAUUUCCCCCUGCAUCCCCAAUGUGUUUUUAGAGACCACUGUGGCCUUUGGAUGUUGAUCAACAAAUGCUAUUUGCAAAAUCACAAAUUGAGAAUGCACCUGGCAUAAGGAAUGAUACUAUAGUUUAUGCACCUAUAUAUCGAAAUGCUUCAAUGUUUAAAAGGUAUGCUCUUAAUUCUGUAUAUAGUGCAUAAAGGUUUUUCUCUAAAUCUAUUGUAUUUUUUCCAGUUCUGAAUGAUCCAAAUAAAGAACAUAUCUUUGAACAAUGGUGAAAUUCUCAUGGUAUGUAUUUCUUGUAUAUUUACAGUCCAACAACAGAUGGUGGAGACACCUUUUUUUGUCUUUUAACUUUCAUUGAAAUUCCUUUUAGUUCUUGAAGAUUCAAUUUCCUUAACUAGGAGCUUGCUGAUCAUAUUAAAGGUUUAUAUUUUUUCUCAUUAGGAUUUUCAGGUGCUACAGUUUAGCACAAUAGUUACUCUUGACCACAGUAUUUUAGCUCCAUUUUUAGGAAUUCUGAGCUGGGCCUUACUUGCAGGAGCUAUGAACUGAUGGAGGACAUGCUUAAAGUUUUCAUCUACCAGGAUGGAGAAAAUCCUAUCUUCCAUCAGCCUAUCCUUGAAGGAAUAUAUGCAUCAGAAGGAUGGUUUAUGAAGCUUAUGGAAACUAACAAAAAAUUUGUCACAAAAGACCCUAGAGAAGCUCAUUUAUUUUACAUUCCUUAUAGUUCACGGCUUCUAGAAUUAACACUCUAUGUACGCAAGUCACAUAGUCGUACAAACCUUAUUGAGUACAUGAAAAAUUAUGUGGACAUGAUAGCAGCAAACUAUUCAUUCUGGAACAGAACUGGUGGAGCAGAUCAUUUUGUUGCUGCAUGUCACGACUGGGUACUCUUUAACUCCAAAUUUUUAUGUCAUCUUCAUUUUGAGAAUUAGCUUAACUCAGUAAGCGAGUUCUGCAGUCCAGAGUUCGUAGAAUUUCUGAAAAAUUGUCUUUGCUUGAAAUCCAAUUUGACUGAAUUUUUAUGCUUAUUGCUUAUUUUGGCAAACCAACUAUCAUAUGUUUAGAAACAGUAACUUCAUUAUUUUCUACUGUAAAUGCUACGAACAGUAACAUAGAAAAUAGUUUCUUCCUAUUUUGCAUGGUACCAUAGCAACCCCUAAUUAUUUCAUUGUGAAGCACCCUAUGACAACCAUUUCAACUAGAAAUUAUCUAACAAAACAGCAUUUUCUUAGGCACCAGCUGAAACUAGGGGACUUAUGUUAAAUUGCAUCAGAGCUCUUUGCAAUGCUGAUAUUGAUGUUGGCUUCAGCAUAGGCAAGGAUGUGUCUCUUCCAGAAACAUAUGUGAAAUCAGCUCAGAAUCCUCUCAAAAAUUUGGAAGGCAACCCUCCCUCCCAGAGACCCAUCCUUGCUUUCUUUGCAGGUAAUUUACAUGGUUAUGUCAGGCCAAUUCUAUUGGAGUACUGGGAAAACAAAGACCCUAAUAUGAAAAUAUUUGGUCCAUUGCCUCAUGUGAAGGGCAAUGCAAACUACAUUCAAUACAUGAAGAGCAGCAAGUACUGCAUUUGCCCAAGGGGUCAUGAAGUCAACAGCCCACGAAUAGUGGAGUCCAUAUUCUACGAGUGUGUUCCAGUAAUAAUAUCUGACAACUACAUACCUCCUUUUUUUGAAGUCUUGGACUGGGAAUCCUUUGCUGUUUUUGUGUUGGAGAAGGAUAUCCCGCAUUUGAAGAGUAUACUACUUUCUAUCCCAGAAGAAAGGUAUGUGGAGAUGCAUAAGAGAGUGAAAAAGGUACAACAGCAUUUUCUUUGGCAUUCUGAACCUGCAAAGUAUGAUUUAUUUCAUAUGAUUCUUCAUUCCGUUUGGUACAAUAGAGUUUUUCAA
rnacentral:misc_RNA from 1 species